rnacentral:rRNA from 1 species
CAGUCGAGCGAACGGACGAGAAGCUUGCUUCUCUGAUGUUAGCGGCGGACGGGUGAGUAACACGUGGAUAACCUACCUAUAAGACUGGGAUAACUUCGGGAAACCGGAGCUAAUACCGGAUAAUAUUUUGAACCGCAUGGUUCAAAAGUGAAAGACGGUCUUGCUGUCACUUAUAGAUGGAUCCGCGCUGCAUUAGCUAGUUGGUAAGGUAACGGCUUACCAAGGCAACGAUGCAUAGCCGACCUGAGAGGGUGAUCGGCCACACUGGAACUGAGACACGGUCCAGACUCGAUGCCCUCCCAGCAGUAGGGAAUCUUCCGCAAUGGGCGAAAGCCUGACGGAGCAACGCCGCGUGAGUGAACUUCCAGAACGGAUCGUAAAACUCUGUUAUUAGGGAAGAACAUAUGUGUAAGUAACUGUGCACAUCUUGACGGUACCUAAUCAGAAAGCCACGGCUAACUACGUGCCAGCAGCCGCGGUAAUACGUAGGUGGCAAGCGUUAUCCGGAAUUAUUGGGCGUAAAGCGCGCGUAGGCGGUUUUUUAAGUCUGAUGUGAAAGCCCACGGCUCAACCGUGGAGGGUCAUUGGAAACUGGAAAACUUGAGUGCAGAAGAGGAAAGUGGAAUUCCAUGUGUAGCGGUGAAAUGCGCAGAGAUAUGGAGGAACACCAGUGGCGAAAGCGACUUUCUGGUCUGUAACUGACGCUGAUGUGCGAAAGCGUGGGGAUCAAACAGGAUUAGAUACCCUGGUAGUCCACGCCGUAACGAUGAACGAACCGUA